UACGUAGGGGGCUAGCGUUGUCCGGAUUUAUUGGGCGUAAAGCGCGUGUAGGCGGCCAGUUAGGUCCGUUGUGAAAACUGGAGGCUUAACCUCCAGCUGUCGAUGGAAACCAUCUGGCUAGAGUCCGGAAGAGGAGAGUGGAAUUCCUGGUGUAGCGGUGAAAUGCGCAGAUAUCAGGAAGAACACCCGUGGCGAAGGCGGCUCUCUGGGACGGGACUGACGCUGAGACGCGAAAGCGUGGGGAGCGAACAGG
rnacentral:rRNA from 1 species